AUGGAGCACUCGAUGGGGCGUUGGGGUGAGAACUUGGCCUCCGGCGACGGCAUGAGCGGCGCAGCUGCCACCAAGUAUUGGGUCACCGAGAAGGAGUUCUAUGAUGAAAAGUCCAACAAAUGCGUCAAAGACGAAUGCGGUCACUACCUUGCUGUGGUAUGGGGCAAAACCACUGAGGUUGGAUGUGGCAUUUCAAAGUGCAACAAUGGACAGAACUAUGUGGUUUGCAGCUACGAUCCCAUGUACCAGCCCGAGGACGAGCGCCCCUACUAGACAAUGUAUGUAUGCUUGCGUGCACACACGCACACCUUCAUGAGGCCUGUUGAGAAGUCUUGUGUUUUUUUUCUUUUACGAAAUUAGAAAAAUAAAAUGUAAUGGGUGUAUACAAAUACAUUCCCACACUCACAACAUUCCUUUAUGUGACUAGCACUUGACAUGAUAUUGUGAAAGGUUACAAGAGAAUGAAUAAUUUAAAAUUAAAAAAAGGAAAAGAAUAAUAUAAUUUCAUUUUUGUAAAAUCUAACCGAAAUAUUAUCUCAUUCUCUUUAUGUUUUUUUUUUUGAUAGUCAAUCUCUCUCUUUUUGAAAAUACAACUAGACAAAAUUCUAAUUGGUUUAUCCAAAAUUUUAAUAAAGGACUAAUUAUCCAUUAUUAAGGCUAAAUAGCCGUACGUAUUUUUUUUUGAGUGCUGCUAUUUUCAUCUCCCUGUCUUAUUUGAAGGAAGUGAGAUUCCACCAUAAAAUCAAUUUGCAAUGGGGGAAGUAAUCCAAAUCCUUAUAAGCCCUUGCAAGGUUUUCUAACUUUCUAAUGUGGGACUUUUUACCUUCACAUUCUUGCACGCCCCCACUCGUGUGGCAAAUUUUCAAGCCUAACAGGUGGACAACACAUUUUGGGUGACAUGGAGCACAUGUGGCCAUUGGGCUUUAACAUGUGGUCAACCUGCUCUGAUGCCAUGAAGAAAGUUGAGGUUCCACCCUAAAACUAAUUGGAAUUGGGGAGAGUAACCCAACUCCUUAUAAGCCAUUGCAAAGUUUUCUAACUUUCCAAUGUGAGACUUUUUACCUUCACAUUCUCACACUAUUAACCCACCCACUUUAUCUUCCCUCCCACCAUGUAAAUUUGAUAAAACACAAUCCUAUCUUUUCACUCAGCAUUAUUCCUAAAAUACCGUAGCCCACUAUUAUUUCAAAUAAAAUUAAAAAAAAUGAGAAUGUAAAAAAAAAAGAGUAAGAGCACUUCCAGCGCUAAGCCAGCCCAGUCAAAAGGUUGCCCAGGCCAAGAAAUGCUCCUCAAGCGGUAAAAACAACCCAGGCAAGGCAUGGACUCAAUCAAGCCUGGCAAGCAAGAACAACCCGAGUUGUUGCCUAAAAAAAUUCUGUAAAAUUACAAAAAAUUGAGAAUAUAUAUAUUUUUUUAUACAUACCUAGAAAUUUUAUAUAUAUUAUUAAUCUCAUACAUACAAAUUAAAUUAAUCUCAAGUGAAUAGUAAUUGUCCUUCGAUUGCAUGGCAAUGGGUGGAAAAGCAACAAAAAAAUUGCUAGGGCAGAUACUAUUCACGUAAAAAGUAAUUGCCCUUGUCUCCCCUAAACUUUUGCCCUGAUAAAUGAGUGAAUGUGCUCUAAGAAAGAAAAAAAUCCAGCUGCUAACUACGGCUCCAACAAAUGUGUUGGGGAUGAAUGUGGGCAUUAUACUCAGGUGGUUUGGAGGAACUCGGUUCAUCUUGGUUGUGCUAGGGCUAAGUGUGACAACAAUUGGGUUUUUGUCAUUUGCAGCUACGAUCCUCCUGGUAAUUAUGAGGGCGAGCGUCCCUACUAGAAUUGGAAGGCAUUUGAUCAAGCUGAUGAAGUUGAGAUGGUGGACUGGAACUUGGAACAGAUUGGAUGUUGUUGGUUGAUAUUAAAGUAGUAUUUUGGACUAAAUAAUGAUUGGGUGGAGUUCACGUGAAGGUGGGGGUCUCUCUUUUGUAAAACAUCAUGUGCUGAACAAAUGUACUAUUGAUGUGAUGACCCUUUCUAGCUCUGAUGUUCGUUUUUACUCUCAAAGAAUGUAUUGUUCUCUAUUGAGAAAUUUUUUUAAAAAAUUCAGCGCUAAGAAACUUUAGUACUUAUAACUCAUUGUAUGCUCAUUCCGCGGUAAUAUGCUAAUGUGUCAUCGUCACUUUCCUUGUUGAUGUUUCUUUUUCGUAAAGUAGAUUAAUUUAGAUAAUCGUUUGUAUAAUUUUUACUUGUUAAAGACUUCCUGAUUCAAAUUUCAUGAACGGAGUAUUUUUUUUUUUUAAAUCUUGAAUUAAAAAAAAUUAAAAAAAGUUCUUACCUUUGGAAAGAAAUCUACCCUUUUUUUUUUGUUUGUUUGAAACGAGACCAAAUUUUAUAGAAAUAUAUCAAAAUUUUCUACUAGAAGGGUAGCACCACAGUCUUUGUUGACGCGAGUCUGUUAAUUAAUCAAGGAGAUUUAUUUUCUUGAUUAAAUAAGGGAUUUACUUUUUUAUUUUAUAUAAUUGACAAAUGAUUGUAUAAUUACGAGAUAGUAUUCUACUUGAUUACUGUAUCUAUUUCUUGUAAAGCACUCAUGUAAACUCCUAUAUAUACCUCUUUACGGAGAAGAAUAAAACUUAACCUAAAGUAUUCAAACCAUAUUUAUAUUUUAGCAUGGUAUCAGAGCAAUCGAUCAUAAGUUGUCUCUAAACCCUUACAUCAAAUUUCUCAUAUUCAAAUCCAAAAUCCCAAAUCAAAUUCCUCAUAUUUAAAUUCUCGAAAUCCAAAUCCCUCAAAUCUAAAGUCCUCAAAUCCACUUGGAACAGAUUGGAUGUUGUUGGUUGAUAUUAAAGUAGUAUUUUGGACUAAAUAAUGAUUGGGUGGAGUUCACGUGAAGCUCCAAUCAAAUUCCUCACAUACUCAUAUCAAAUAUUACUUCCACUGCGAUGUUAGGAUCCCCUACUAUUUUCUCCCUUAUUGUUUACUCUCAAAGCAUGCGGUCACUCCUGUUGACUCGGCUACUCGGACUCGUGCUUCUAUCGCACCGCCAAAGGUUCUAGUUUUCAUACGUCCUCUAAAAAAUUCGCAAACUCGGGUGCUACGAAUCACAUAACAUUUGAUCCCGACCAACUUGGUGGAUGAUGCUAAUGGUACCCCCUCCCCUAUGGUUGAGGAGGGCUUUCUAUCUCUCUCUACUUCCCUACAUAUGGAUUCUGUAUUGAUUGUUCCAUCUUUGGACCAUAACUUGUUAUCUGUUGCACAACUGUUGCACAACUUACUACUACUUUGGAGUGUAUUGUAACAUUUUGGCGAAUCAUUGUGUUUUUCAGGACAUCCUCAUGGGAAAGACGAUUGGUUGUGGUACUCGGCGGGACAAACUCUAGUACUUAGACUGGGCACCGUAUGGUGAGACCAAGGUUGGUCAAGCUUUCACAACACGUGGAACUUGUUCUGAAGGGGAGAAAGGUAAAGUUUGGUUAUGGCAUAAACAUCUUGUGCAUGUCUUGUUCGGUUAUCAUAAGAAGUUGUUUCCAUCAUUAUUUUACAGUCUUGAAGUUUCUAGUUACCAGUGUGAUACUUGUGAAUUGGCUAAGAGCCAUCGUGUCCCGUUCCCAUUAAGUUCAAACAAGAGUUUAAUUCCAUUUUCUCUUGUUCAUUCUGAUGUCUGUGGACAUGCUAAAAUUGCCAUCCCGAUAGGAGCUCGAUGGUUUGUUACGUUUGUAGAUGAUUGCACAAGCAUGACUUAGGUUUCCAUUCUCAAAACUAAAGGGGAAGUCACUUUCAAGUUUCAACGGUUCCAUCAAAUGGUGGAGACUCAGUUUCAUGCCAUAAUUCAUGUUCUUCCUUAUGAGAAUGGCGGAGAAUUUCUCAACCAUGCUCUUAACCAGUUCUUACAAGAUCAUGACAUCAUACAUCAACGCUCAUACCCUACACUCCUCAACAGAAUGAAGUGGUUGAAAGAAAGAACAUACAAUUAUUAGAAGUAGUUCGUGCCUCUCUCUUUGGUGCCAAUAUGCCACGAUCUUUUUGGGGCGAAGCCAUCGUCUCUGUAGCAUACCUCAUCAAUUGAACUCCCUCUAGUAUCCUAAAUUUCCAAACGCCACUUCAAACACUACCAUAUCCAAAUACCUCCCACCCCAAACCUGGAACCCCGAAUUUCGGCUAUGUUGUAUUUGUUCACUUACAUGAUCACCAACGAAGCAAAUUGGAUCACCGAGCUGAAAAGUGUGGUUUCAUUGGCUAUGCACUUAUAAGAAAAGAUACUGGUGUUAUCAUCCUCCUAGUUAGAAGAUCUAUACCUCUAUGGAUGUUGUGUUUCAGGAACAUGUCUUAUAUUUUUCAGCAGCACAAGAGGAGAAUCGAGAAUCCACCCCUCCUCACAUUUUUUAUUUUUUUCCACAGGAUGUCACUCAGCUUCAAAACGACUGGUCGCCAAUGGAAAGCGACCGGUCGCCCCCCUUAGUUCUUCAAACACGGAAAACAUGCUUCAAAACGACCGGUCUCUAAUAGACAGCGACCGAUUGCCAAUAGACAGUGACUGGUCGCCAGAGGAAAAUAAUUAGUUGUCCCCAUGCUGUCAAACUCAGGAGGAGGAAAUUGAACCGUUUUAUGAGUUUUUGCCCCCACCAAUCACCUGCUGAGAAAGUCAUUCAAGUAACAUUUUUCCCUAAAACUCAUAACACUAAUGAAAUAUCCCAUGGUAAUUUGAUUUCAGAAGGCACAGAGUCUAUUUGUCAGCUUCUAGAAAGAAAGAAGCACUACAAGGAUAAUCCCUUUUAGUGACGAAACAAGAUGGUCACUAUAACACCAAAUUUAAUCGCCAAAUAUAAGUAGCGACGAAUAUUUUUGGUCUCUAAGGUCGUCGUUGAAAGCUCGGGGCUAAGGAUACCAUGAGACGAAACAAAAUUUUGUCGCUGAAAUAUUUUAGCGACUAAAUUUGUCUUCACUACACAGCUCCAAGUUGGUUGCCAUCGAGAGUGAGUUGCUGCGAAAAUACCAAAAAUUCCCGCGAACAUGGAAUUAUUUGGCGACGAAAUAAAUAUUUGGUCGCCUGAACAUUUCAGCGAUGAAUGUUAUGGUCGUGAAAGAUGUAGUUUAUUUGUCGCAUAUGUUAGUUGGUUUGGUUAUUUUCAAAAUGGCCGACGAAAUAGAUUGGUCGCCAAAACUGAAGAUGUGCAAUAGCUUUGACGAGGGCAGAGAUUUUGGAGCCGAUAUUUCUAUAAAAAAGAAAAAGAACAAAAAGUAACAGUUAACUAGUAGAGACACAAGUAACUCAAAAAACCAUUAAGAUUAUAAAAAAUUGAAGAAAGUUUGUUUUUUUUUUUGGUCACUAUAACAUUAGAAAUUGAUGUAAGUGGACAACAAAUUUAUAUCUUGUGAUAUAAUUUUUAUUUUUUUAUUUUUUAUACAAGUCAUAUUGAGGGAGGGUGGAAUCGAACUUAGGACCUCUUAACUAUUUGAGUUACAAAUUCAUUGCAUCCGAUGAUAUAAUAUUAAUAAAUAAACGCACAUUAUAACAUGAGAUUAUUGUUCAUUAGAAAAAAAAAAAAAAGUGAAUUCAUAUAAAAAAGAAUAUGGCUAAAUUUGAAACGUGUGACACCCAAAACUAGAGUAUGGUGAUUUUCUUUAUCAGUUUUUUUAGUGAACAAAGGGGAUUAGGACCAGAAGACAGGUUUAAACAAUAGCAUAUAGACGCAUAGGAGAAAGGAGGCCAACUAAGUCAUGAGGAAAAACAAAAGAGAUAUUACUCAAGACACCCAAUAAUGCUCUACCCUGUUACUUCUUCUUUCCAUCUUAUCCAUUAGAAAAAGAAAAAGAAAAAAAAAACUAGUUGAGCUGAAAAGAAGAAAAGAAAAGAAGAACAGAAAAGAAGAACUUACUUUUUUAAGGGGAAAAAAAAAGGAAACUCACCAAAAAAUUGUCUUCCCCCCUUAUUGUGAGUAAAACUUGGUGUGGACGCAUUCCACGCCCAAAAGAUUUGACACCACAAAUUUCUAUGGAUCUCUUCUUUCUUUUCUUUAUUUGGCCCCUCCUCUAUGGCACUCUAUAGAAUCCAAAAAAAUAAUAUUCAGCCCUCCCAUUUUUAAGGGCCUAUUUUCGAAGACCCUCUUUGCGGACACAAACUUGCCUGUGUCUCUAUAAAUAUGCACAAUCCCAUGCCCCCUUUCAAUCAACAUCUAACAAUCCAACCUUCUCUACUACAAAGAAAAGACCUUAAACUUCUCAUAUCAAGAAACAAAAAUGGCGUUCAACACGAAGCUUCUUUUGGCCAUUUGCUGCGUCGCAUUGGUCUUCACUCUUGUCUCUGCAAACAUUUCUAAAGAAGAGAUCGAUGGCUUCGUCGAGGAGCACAACAAGGCUCGUAAAGAGGUCGGCAACAAACCCCUCAAGUGGAACACGACCUUGGCCCAGUAUGCCCAAGAAUAUGCGGAUAAAAGAGUUGGUGACUGCGCCAUGGAGCACUCGAUGGGGCGUUGGGGUGAGAACUUGGCCUCCGGCGACGGCAUGAGCGGCGCAGCUGCCACCAAGUAUUGGGUCACCGAGAAGGAGUUCUAUGAUGAAAAGUCCAACAAAUGCGUCAAAGACGAAUGCGGUCACUACCUUGCUGUGGUAUGGGGCAAAACCACUGAGGUUGGAUGUGGCAUUUCAAAGUGCAACAAUGGACAGAACUAUGUGGUUUGCAGCUACGAUCCCAUGUACCAGCCCGAGGACGAGCGCCCCUACUAGACAAUGUAUGUAUGCUUGCGUGCACACACGCACACCUUCAUGAGGCCUGUUGAGAAGUCUUGUGUUUUUUUUCUUUUACGAAAUUAGAAAAAUAAAAUGUAAUGGGUGUAUACAAAUACAUUCCCACACUCACAACAUUCCUUUAUGUGACUAGCACUUGACAUGAUAUUGUGAAAGGUUACAAGAGAAUGAAUAAUUUAAAAUUAAAAAAAGGAAAAGAAUAAUAUAAUUUCAUUUUUGUAAAAUCUAACCGAAAUAUUAUCUCAUUCUCUUUAUGUUUUUUUUUUUUGAUAGUCAAUCUCUCUCUUUUUGAAAAUACAACUAGACAAAAUUCUAAUUGGUUUAUCCAAAAUUUUAAUAAAGGACUAAUUAUCC
rnacentral:lncRNA from 1 species